CACACGACUCUCGGCAACGGAUAUCUCGGCUCUCGCAUCGAUGAAGAACGUAGCGAAAUGCGAUACCUGGUGUGAAUUGCAGAAUCCCGCGAACCAUCGAGUCUUUGAACGCAAGUUGCGCCCGAGGCCACUCGACCGAGGGCACGCCUGCCUGGGCGUCACGC
rnacentral:rRNA from 4 species